GCCUCGGCUAGUCUCGGGGGAGACGGACCUUCCACCGACAGCGCCGGCGGCCAUGGCGGAGACGGCGGAGGCUGCUCAACCUCACGCCGGCGGUCGCCAUCCUCCGGCGCCGUUGGAGACAGCGCCUACCUAACUUAGUCGGCUCUCCCCUUGGCGAGGGAUCCGCGCCCCCCCCCCCCCCCCCCCCCCAACCCCACUUGCCGAUAUUACUGGAGUGCUGAUUGGAUACCAGAAGAAAUUGCUCUGAGCCUGGGGAUUAGAUCGAGGCAUGACAGUGUCACCUUUGCUUGACCCAGCCGCACAAGCUUCUAGCUUCGCCUGCUGCUGGAAGUUGUUCAGGGAUUCUUCUUCCGACGUGUGUGACAUUGCUUGGAAGUCCAGAUACUGGUUGCAGAGGGUGCCAGCAAGGUGAAGGGGGAUGGUGAUUUAUGCACAACGGAACCAAGGGGUUGCAAUUAGACAAUAGGGAAAUGGUUGAUUUAACUUUCAGUCAGCAUCAUGACUGCAAUGCUGACGCUAUUAUUAUAACCCAUGGAAUGCGAAUCUGAUUGCCUCAUCAGCACGAAUGUUCCGCUUAUUGUUUCUAAAGAAUUUGUCAGUAUCCUGAAGUUUGCUAAGCAAAGCUCCACGGAAAAAGAGUAGUCUUGAGCUA